UAAAUACAUUUUUUAAACUUUCAUUCCUAUUACAGGCAGUUAUGGAAAUUUCCGUAGGACAAAUAUAAAUUAGUCUAGCUAUCAAUCUGGGUCCAUAUGGCAACCCCACCUGUCGGCUAGGAUGGCACCUGCUUAGGAUGGAAUUUAGAGGCCGACCUCGAGGGAAGGGUAGUGGGCUGUCUUACCAGAACCGAAUGUGUAUGUGUGUUUGGGGGAAUGACCUACUUGUGCGGGAUAGAAAGCCGCCAAUCUCGCACGUAUAUGAGGCACACACUGGCUUAGAUGCCCUUUAGAAUGUCCACUAGCGAGAGGAAAAUUAGUGCGAUGAAUUGUAUAUACUUCUAUUGUCAAUAUUUAAAGCAUUCUAAAACAAGAGAAAAUUUGAUUUCUGAAAAGUGAAGAAAUGGCAAUGAUUAUAAGGGACCAGUUUCAAUGUUUAUUCAACAUUAUUCUAGAACUUCCAAGUUGCCCCACAUGUCACCAAAGAGAUGCUGCUUGCUUAGUGAACAGACCUUGUCUUCACAUCACUUACUGUGUCUCAUGCUGCAAUGGGAACACAAAAUGCAAGAUUUGUCUCAAAGAAGCAAAAUUUCAAACAUUAUUUGAUUUGUUGCAUCAGGAAACAUCUGGACAGGAAGACGUCGUUCUCAAUGUUUAAUAUACAUACAAUACAUACAUACAUACAUACAUACAUACAUACAUACAUACAUACAUACAUACAUACAUACAUACAUACAUACAUACAUACAUACAUACAUACAUACAUACAUACAUACAUACAUACAUACAUAUGUACAUACUUACAUACAUAUGUACAUACUUACAUACAUAUGUACAUACUUACAUACAUAUGUACAUAAACAUAGAGUACAACUUCAUAAAUGUGUAUAU